AAGUGAUUUUAAAAAGAAGACAUUUGCCAAGCUCUGCCAACAAACACGAACACCACGAGUGUCUGCUUCAAACCCACACAAGAAUCUGUGACGCUGAGGGCUGCAUGCACCUGAGAGAGCGACAACCAUAGCGUGUGACAGGAGAGCACAACAGAAGAUCUGCACGUCAGGGAGCUCCUGUAGAAGGUUUUAUUCAGCACAGGGACACCUGAGCCAACAUGCUCUUCCUCAGACUCGCCUAUACAUGUUUGAGUCGCCAUCUUGAACAGAUGUUAUGAACCAACACGGCUGAGAUCCAUCGUCUGUGUUUGAUCUGUGUUUGAAUUUGAGUUUCUGCAGCACAGACUCAGUUUGUGGAGUUUUAGGUGAACAAACAGACGGUACAGGGUGUUGGUAAGAAGAAUGAAAGUCUGUUUCUAUGCACACAGACUUCCUGGUUUUGCUCAGGGACAAACAUGUUUACACUCUAAACCCAUGUGUCGGAUGUCAUGUACAUGCAGGUUUCUGUGCUCAGGCGUCUGAACUGCAUCGUUCAUCAAACUAAUCAUAACAGUGAAGCUGAACGUCAUUAAUUCAAGUCUGACCACAUUUCUUUAUUUUUAUCUGUAACAUGAGCUGAGGAUGCAUGUGUGCACACUUCACAUAGGACCCAAGAAUCUCUUCAACUUUCUCUUCCACUUCUCCAGCUCUCACGUCCAGGAGUCAGAGCUCAAAGUUUCCACAAACACAGGCAAGUGUCAGAUAACCUCUGUAAUGUUAAUCUGUUACUACAGAUUAACAAAGGAUCACUCCUGAGAGACUCCAAACACUUCUCUGUCUGUUACAGGUUUAUUCUGUCAUCCUCCUGAUUUCUGCCAUGCUGUUUGUCAAAGCACUUUGUAAACUUUUGUUUUUAAAGUUGCCAUAUAAAUAAAAGUUCUUAUUAUUAUUAUGUUCUUCA